rnacentral:rRNA from 1 species
UACAGAGGGUGCGAGCGUUAAUCGGAAUUACUGGGCGUAAAGGGUGCGUAGGCGGUUGUUUAAGUUAGAUGUGAAAUCCCCGGGCUUAACCUGGGAAUUGCAUUUAAGACUGGGUGACUAGAGUAGAGUAGAGGGAAGUGGAAUUUCCGGUGUAGCGGUGAAAUGCGUAGAUAUCGGAAAGAACAUCAGUGGCGAAGGCGGCUUCCUGGACUCAUACUGACGCUGAGGCACGAAAGCAUGGGUAGCAAACAGGAUUAGAUACCCUGGUAGUCCAUGCUGUAAACGAUGAUAACUAGAUGCUGGUAGGUUAAACUUAUCAGUAUCGAAGCAAACGCGCUAAGUUAUCCGCCUGGGGAGUACGGCCGCAAGGCUAAA